ACGCGGGGCCAGGGUGCCGAACGCCCCACAAGUCCUGCAGCGCGGUGCGGAGUCGGCGGAACCGGAGCGAACUGAAGGUGUUCCCAGCGAAUGUCCUGAGACCCGUCCAGGACUUUCUGAGGACUCAGCCCAGGAUGACAGCCUCUCAGAUCGCUGGCUCUGAAGGACUGCUCCGAAGAGGUUAUUUUAAAAGAUGAAGUAUUUCACAACACGGACAAUAUGUGAACAUUUUUUUUUCUUUUAAAGAAAACUUUGUUUUUUUGCUGACACUUUUUGAACUUGGCUGCUCAAGGGGAAACAAACAAGUUUAAAAAGCUGAAGUCUUCGGUGUACAGAUUACAGCUAAAAACUUGUACACUUUAAGCCUGGGGAACAUUUUUUUCAUGCUUAAGGAUUUCAGUCAUCUGAUACAACCGUGCUACAGUUGUGCAACAUUUAGGGUUCUUCAAAGCUGGAUGCAUUGCAGCUCUUUUCCAGACUGGAUUUCAGGGGUGCCAGCGUCAUCCCUUCAGGCUCAGCAAUCGGAUUGUUAAUUCCUGGAUGGUCACUCUUGUCACAGGUAGAAGAUGAAGGUCUGUAAAAAGUGGAUUAAAAAAGAAAUAAUGCUGCUACUUUUCCAAUGUGAAAAAGUCGUUAAAGAAAGCUGGCUUGAAAAGCGGCACAGUUUUCCAUGAACUGAACAAUAUUUUCAAAGCCGUUGAAAAACUAUUAGGUGCAGAUGGUUUCUACUUGGGGUUGGCAAACUGGGGCCAGAGACAAAAUAUUUGCUGCUUAGUAGGGCUUGCACGGUCUUUGUUAACCUGAUUUGACUCCCUCACUGUAGUGGGGGACAGCCAGGCAAGACGUUCACAAAUGAGAAUGUUGUGUUGUGACGUAACCUCAUUUAUGAACAAUGAAACUGAAUUUUAUGUAAUUUUCAGGGUCACAAAAUGUUAUUCUUUCCUUUGAUUUUUCUUCAAUCAUUUAAACAUGUAAGACUAAGAAUUCUUCGUGCGUAAAGCAGGCAGAGGGCGGGGCUUUACUUCUUUGCUCAAGCCCUGGGUUCCCUCCUCAUGGACCUAAAUGCCCUGACCUCCCCGGUUCUUUCUUGUACAUCCACCUGCCUACUUGUCAUGUCCUGUAAUAGGCAACUCUUCCAAAGGAGAACCCCCGCUUCUGCCCCGUCACCAGUUCCCGCCCCAGUCUUCUCCGUCUCGGCAAACACCAUCUUUUCUCAUAGUCGUGCAGAUCAGAGACUUAGAAUUCACCCUCUCCCUCACCCUCCACAGCUAAUCCAAUAGCAAAUUCUGUCGUCUCGGUUUUCAAAAUAUAUUCCAACCCAUCUAGUUUCCCCCGCCUCCAAUGCUACCGUUGACCUAAAUAAAAGGGUAAAAUAAGGCAGGCUCAAAAUUGUCAAAAGCUGAAUUUAUUUGAAACUAGCAGAGAAAUUACAUUUAAUAACUGUAGCAAGCCACAGGCGAGUCUGCUGAGGCUUUGGGUGUAGGCAGUAUUUACCGGCAGGGAAUGGAAAGAAGGGAGAGUUCAGUUAGAGUCUAUUAACAUCAAAAACAAACAGAGGCCAGCUUUGGAAAUUUCCCGAGCAGACAAAACCAGUCCAGUCAUACACACAAGGCUCAAUUCAGCUUAUUUUGCAAGACCAGCCCUACCUGGGUCACUUCUUGUUCACGCCCCUGGAAACCAGAAGCAAAAUUUCCCGAGGUUAAUAUGAGGCAAUCCCUGAUCAACUCCCUAUCAUUUAGGAAAAUGUCCAUAUUCUUAGUUUUCUAUAAAUCAGGCAUUUACAGGAAAUCAGAUCCCAGUCCUUAAGUUCUGUUUUCCUAAGAGCAUUCACAUGAGAUUUUCCAUUUUAUAUCCUCCAGUUCCAUUUCACGUCGAAGUUCUUUCACGCUACCUCCCACCAUCAUUUUUAGCUUCGAUUAUGCACUGGCUUCUGAGCUGGUUCCCCCGCUUCUGCUCUUGCGUAUCUUUGAUACCAUGUCCACGCGACUUUCCAUUGAACUCAGAAUGAAAUCCAAAAUGAGACCUGUGAGACCUGUGGGGCCUGGCCUCCGCCUGACUCUGCAAACUUACGUCUUGUAUGUUUCCUGUUAACAAGUUUGUUCCAGAUACCACGUUUCCUCCUUGUUGCUCACGUGAGCCACACUUGUUCAGUCUGUUUUUCCAGAAUAUUUUCUGUUCGCUUCGCCAGGGGUAACACGCUUCCAGCAGACCCUCUCCUCGCUUGCUCCCCACUUAUGUCUGUAGGUCCAGAAGUCUGCAGUGGUCACAGCAGCGCCUCUCCCAGCCAUUCCCACAUCAGUUUCUGUAUCCUUACUCUGCUGUAUUUUUUCAUGUCACAUGUCUCUACCUGACAUGAUAGUAAAUGUUUGUUUUUGUACAUAUAUGAUAUGUACUUGUUACUACAAUGUAUGCUCUGUAAGGGCAGACAGUUUUAUAGCUGUAUUUCUAUCAACUAAAACAGUGCUAAAAUGGGGAGGGGAUUGGGGGGAUGAGAGAAAUGGGUAAGGGGGACUAAGGGGUACAGUUGCAAAAUAAAGGAGUCACGGGUAUCAAAUGUACGGUGUGGGCAACAGACUCAGUAACUACAGGAUAUCUCUGGAUGGGGACCAGAUCAUAACGAGACUUAUCAUGGUGGUCACUGUAAAGUGUACACAACUAUCAAAUCGCCAUGCUGUGCACCAGGAGCUAACACAGUGUUGCAGGCCAAUUAUACCUGAAAGCAAACAAACAAAGUACUAGAAGAAGAUACCAGAUUUGUCGUUACCAGAGGCAGGGGAUGGGGAAGAGGGUCAAAUGGUGGUCAAAAGGCACAAACUUCUAGUCGUUAAGGUAAGUAAGUACUACGGAUAUAAUGUACAACAUGAUAAAAUUAAUUAUUAACCCUGCUGUACAUUAUAUACGAAAAUUGUUAAGAGAGCAAAUCUUAAGAGUUCUCAUCACAAGGAAAAACAAUUCUUUUCCUCUCAUUUUGUAUCUGUUUGAAAAGAUGGAUGUUCAGUAAUCACUCCAUGAUGAACGUAAGUCAAAUCAUUAUGCUGUACUCCUUAAACACAUACAGUGCUGUGUGUCAACUGUAUCUCAAUGAAAUUGGGAGAAAAAAUACAUACAAAAUAAGAUGGUGCUGACACAUAGUAUUUAGUUCUAUAUUUUUGUUGAACGAAUGAAUGAAUAAAUGAGAAUCACCAAGUA